CUGACCUUAGCUCAGUGGGUAGAGUGGUGGACUGUAGUUGGACUAAUCUAAAUUGGAAAUCCUUAGGUCGCUGGUUUGAUUCCGGCAGGUUGGA
rfam:Ipomoea nil DNA, scaffold: scaffold2876, cultivar: Tokyo-kokei standard.